rnacentral:lncRNA from 1 species
GGAACCACUAAUGUGAUCUCUUCACCUUCAUUAGCAGAUUCCUUGGCUGCUGGUGCAGUCAUAUAAAAAAAAAAAGCAGAAAAAGCUGCUGGCUUUAAGGUGGGGUAGGUGAGCAGGACUGCUGUCCCUGGGUUGUAGACAAUGGAACCUCUAACCCUGAGCCUCCAACAGGGCAAGCUGUGAGGAAGGAACAGGAGAGGGGCUGUGUUGGAGACAUGCUGCAUUAACCCAAAAGAACAAAGCACGGAGAUGACAACAACAAGAGUAAAAAGGAAACAGUAGAGAAGAGGAAUCACUUGUGGCUCUAUUUCCUGCACAAUGAGAGUGGCACAGCACUAGAGGAGCAGCAUUGGUUAACAUCAACUGAUUUUACUAAUUGUUUUCCAUUAGGAGGGCAACUCAGCCAGAAUAGGAGCCUGAUCCUCUUAGCUACUAAUCCUGUUGCUACAACCACUAGCUCAGCUGAUGCUUUUCCUGAGAUGAGUGGCUCUUAAUUGAACACAGGAAUUAAGAUGUGAGCAUAAUGGUAAUUUUUGUUUUAUUCUCUAUUUCUUUUCUUUCCUAAUAAUUCCUAACAUUCUUGUUGCUU